GUUUGGUUUGCCAUCACUUUUUGUGACUUUUCUGACAUCUGCAAGUGUCGGAAGUGUGACCUGAAACAUUUAAGGACACUUCUGCCUGAACCAUGGGCAGAUGUUUAGACUCCAAGAUACAGAGGAGGAGGGUCUUGGAGGUUUCUUAGUAUAAGUUCCUCCCUGUGGUACUUGCAGUUCCUACAAGGGGCUGUCAGAGAAACAAGCCGGAGCAGAAGAGCAAGACAUGGUCCUGGUGCAUGAAAGGAGCCUAAGAAAGAAGAGUGAAAGCUGCACGUGUUCUACCUCCAGAAAGCCAUAAAAGAGAAAAGAAUGUUGUACCAAACUAAGCAAAUGAAGCAUGAAAUGAAAAGCCGGUUGAGCUGGGAGGUAUAAAGAAUGGAAAGGAAGCAGCUACCACCCCUGGUAACCCCAUCAAUCCGGAGAAGCUUCGCAGAGUUACACUGUGCUCUGUCGGGAAGGAAAUGAAUUUUCCUCAUUGUACACAUUCCGAGAAAAAUGAGGCUAAGACUAUUUCAAAGGAUGUUCUACCUAAUUCGAAUGGGCUUUAAGUGCCAUCUUCACAAUAGCGCCAGAGUCUGGUGUCAGCAAACUGAACAAAUAGAGCUACAGGGAGCGAAUGGGGCUGGGUGCCUCUCCAAAACAUAUGCAGAUGAACUUGAGAUUUCAGAGGACGGUUAAUCCUACACAGCAGUCAAGUGCCUUCCCAGGGGUAUGUCUCAGAUCUCAGGGCUCCCUUCCAAACACUGGCUGCCACGUCAAACCAAAGGGGACGAGCAAUCAGACUCACCUCAAACGCCAGUUAAGAAAGCCGGCCUUACUUAAGCAAUCAAGGGCAAGUGAUCAGCCAACUCUGCUUUCUUUCCUUUCUCUUGGAUCAUUUAUAGACCUUGUGGCCGUGGCCACCACAUUGAGAAGCCCUUGGUCUCUACUUGGACUCACUAUAGCAGAGCAUCCUGGCAGGCAUCCACUGUGCCAUAUGCUUUCGGGAAGUCUGGAUGCUGAAUGUGGUGGCUGUGGGGAAUUGAGCCUUAUUGCUUCAUAAGAUUCCUGGUGGUAGAACUAUUCUGAACAAGAACACGUCCGUCCCCAUAGGUGUGCUCCAAGAAUCACAGAAUAAGAAGGGACUUCGGAGAGAGCCUCACACAGUUGGGCAAUGGGAGCCCAGAGAGGCAAGGAAGGCUCCUUGCCCAAAGUCUUGUACAUCUGAAUCUGCAACUCCUGACUAUUUUUGAGUCUUAUGCUCCAGGCUAAAACUUGUGACUUUAAGUGUGAUGUUCUCGGUGAUGAUUAAUCUAGGAUGUUUCUGUUGUUUUCUUACCGUCAAAGAAUUAACAUCAAAAGGAAAGGAAGGAAGAAAUGUAGAAGUGAAGGCAAGAAGGAAGGAAGGAGGAAAGGAAGGAAGGAAAAUAUAGGCUUUGGGUAAAAAUAAGUUUCUACUCAACACUGACAAAGGUACAGGUUUUGGACAUUGGUUUCCUAAUCUGUAAAUGAGGAAUAGUCAUCACAUCGCUGUCCUGGCUGGUUUUGUGUGUCAACUUGACACAAGCUGGAGUUAUCACAGAGAAAGGAAAGAAAAUGCCUCCAUGAGAUCUAGCUGUAAAUGGAUUAGUGAUCAAGAGUGGGAGGGCCCAGUGUGGGUGGUGCCAUCCCUGGACUGGUGGUCCUGGGUUCUACAAGAAAACAAGCUGAGCAAGCCAGGGGAAGCAAGCCAGGGGAACAUCCCUCCACGGCUCUGCAUCAGCUCCUGCUUCCUGCCCUGUGUGAGUUCCAGUCCUGACUUCCUUUGGUGACGAACAGCAAUGUGAUAGUAUAAGCUGAAUAAACCCUUUCCUCCCCAAC
rnacentral:lncRNA from 1 species